rnacentral:rRNA from 1 species
AGUGAACGCUGGCGGUGUGCCUAACACAUGCAAGUCGAACGGCAGCACAGUAAGAGCUUGCUCUUACGGUUGGCGAGUGGCGGACGGGUGAGGCAUACAUCGGCAUCUUCUUUUUCUUGGGGGAUAACGUAGGGACACUUACGCUAAUACCUCAUACGAUCUACGGGUGAAAUCAGAGGUUCUUCGGACCUUUCGCGAUUCAUUUAGACGAUGUCGGAUUAGCUAGUUGGCGUGGUAAAGGCCCACCAAGGCGACGAUACGUAGCUGGUCUGAGAGGAUGAUCAGCCACACUGGAACUGAGACACGGUCCAGACUCCUACGGGAGGCAGCAGUGGGGAAUCUUGGACAAUGGGCGAAAGCCUGAUCCAGCCAGACCGCGUGGGUGAAGAAGGCCUUCGGAUUGUAAAGCCCUGUUGUUGGGAAAGAAAAGCAGCAGGUUAAACCCCCGCUGUUCUGACGGUACCCAAAGAAUAAGCAACGGCUAACUUCGUG